CUCGUAGGUGGCCAACUAAGUCAGACGUGAAAUCCCCAGGCUCAACUUGGGAACUGCGUCUGAUACUGGAUGGCUUGAAUUCGGGAGAGGGAUGCAGAAUUCCAGGUGUAGCGGUGAAAUGCGUAGAUAUCUGGAGGAAUACCGGUGGCGAAGGCGGCAUCCUGGACCGAUAUUGACACUGAUGAGCGAAAGCUAGGGGAGCAAACG
rnacentral:rRNA from 1 species